rnacentral:lncRNA from 2 species
UGGUUCGGUUGAACCCCGUCGAUCUCUAUCCCUCUCUUACUCUCUCUCGUGUUCCUCUUCACUACCACUUCUAGAAGCUUCCUCUACUUCUUCCAUCUCAAUUCCUCUUCUAUUUUUCUGAGAUUGUAUUUGAAUUUGAUUGUUCUUGAGAUUACUGAGUUGGAAGAAGAGGCUGUUAACAAUCUGGUAUCAGAGCCGUUCGGUUCACUGGGAUUUUUGUCAUGGAGGUGUUGGGGAGGCAGCAUGAGCCAUGCAAGAUGGAGCAAGAAUUGAGUUGGGAAGGUUUUCAUCCAAGCAUCGCCCACCAACUGCUCGAUGGAAUGCCAAGCCAACCUGGGAUGUCCAAGGAAGAUCAGAGGAUAUCUGAGCCCGUUCUCAUCAAUACCACCAUGAAUAAAGAGGAGAAAUGGCUAGAUGAAGCUUUGGAUCGGAUAUUGGAGAAGUUUGAACAAAUGGAGGCCAAGCGCCGGCAAGAGGACAAGCUCAAUCAAAAUUUUCAGAAGUUGGAGGAGAUAGAGGCUCGUAGGAGCAAGGCUUCCGAGGAGACGAUUGCUGCCAUCAGGGCAACCACCGCCAUUCUCAAGGCUGCAUCAUCUUCGACACCUAUGGCACCACCUCCUCCAGCGCCCACCAACUGUUUGAUGGAAUGCCACAACAACAACUUCACUUGGGUGGCAGUGAAUUCAAGUCACAUCCGCGAGGUACCUGCCCCGAUGGUUGCCUUCGAGCUUGGGGACGUCGAGGACAAGGAUCCUGUCCCCUACAUUGCCGCCAAGGACCUUCCCAAGGUCACGCCCACCAAGUGUUCGACGAUAUGUUCCAGCUCCGACACCAAGCCCGAUCACAUUGUGGCUACUGUGGUUACUUGCGCCACCCUUGUCGUGUCAUCAAUGGAGUUGGUAGCUAUUGACGGCACCACUGGCAACACCAACAUUGACACCCCUGAUAGUACCAAGGCGAUGCCCGCCAACUGUUCGACAGUUGGCCUUGAUGUCAAGGGUGGUGCAGACCACGCCAGGGUCACAUGCCAGAUCAUGAUGGGUGUUCCUGAGGGUGUUGUAUUACCUGAUGCAUCAUCCGAAGUCUUGUCGCCAUGGUUGAUCGCUGAAAUGGACCUUGCCAAGCUGAUGCCCACUGAGUGUUUGAUGAAAUGCCUCAAAGCUAUCAAGAAGUUGCUGGUGGGGCAUCCCAAGAGAGAUCCUUGGCCACCUCCCUGGUCAGGUGGUGUGGUUAGAGGAGGGGAGGUGUGGCACAUCCCAUGGUAUGUACUCGAUUCCUUUUGGACAAGUGUAGGUUUGAUGCCACCAUGGCCACCUCCAACCUGUGAUGGAGUGAUUAAUGGAUGGGAUUUGCAGCCUAUGGCUGGUCCAGAAUUCAAACUCAAUUGGUCAAGGGUACAUCAUUUGCCACCUUGGCCGCCACCUACCGAAGUAAGUUGUCUUGCAUUGGUAUGUCAAGGUAAUGUAAUGAUUCUCACUGAGCUGAAGGAUAUUAAUUUGCACCGUGGUGAGUUGAAGCCAUGGCCUCCACCAAAUCAAACAAAUUGUAGAAAUACUUUUGUUCAGGCUGCGCAAUGCAAGUGCUGGAAAACUAGAGUGGGAAUGAGUCUAUGUGCUAGGAUGGAGCAGUGGAAUUUGUUGAAUCAGGAAAGUUGCACAAUGGUUGCAGUAUCUAGCCUGCAGGAGCAUAUUAAUGGGCAAGAACAAAUCUUAUGCAAACCUUGGAAUCCAAGAGACAACAGGACCUCAAUUGACAUAAUUCUGUUGAAUAGUUGGUCUCUAGUGCACUGCUAUCAUCUGGGGCAUAUUGUUGGCCUUACAUGUCUUGAAGCUUUGGCCAUUCUGGUUUGCCAUGAGAUGGUUAAGUUUGGGUGGGCUGGUACUGUGUACAGUGACCAAGACAGGCAUACAAUUGUCAGGCCAGCAAGAGCAUUUGUCAGGCAUGAGCUUGGCAUCGGGAAUGGUUCACAUAUACUACAUGUUUCAGAGGCUGGAGCAAGAUGUGGGUCCAUGAGGAAAUUGCUUGAACUGAUAAGGAAUGAGAGGACUUUCCAAAUUAAAAUUAUGGUGAAGAACUUAUUGCAAGAGGUAAAUAUGAUCAGCAGUUUUGACACUUCUAUACUUGAGAUGAACACACAUGUUCUGAAAUAUUCAGCUUCUACUCAAGUACUUGAUGCACAUGCACUGAAUAUUUGUAAGUCAAUUGGGCUGCUAAAUCUUAUGACACACAAGCAAUUGCAGUGCCUGCUCAUACACAGGACAUGGAAAUUUCUACUUAGUGUUAUUGUCGUUGUCCAUGGGAGCAGAGGAUCUAGUUUCAAGGCUGGACUACACUUAUGUGCAAUUUCAAAAAAAUAUCUUACAUAUAACAGUAUGGCUAUAUGGGAUACUAAGUUGCUUGGCAUGACUAGGAAGGACCAGUGCUAUGAAAAGAGCCAAACCAAUCAAAGGUGGAUGCCAAAAGAGUGCUGGGCAAAAAACGAUCAAUCAAAAGCAUGCAAUUUUGCUCCAAAGGAGUUAUAUCGAAGCAACAAUCUUAGCACCCAUCAAUCAGACAUCGGCGGCUUUGGCCACGGCGGCGGCGGUGGCUUGGUUCGGUUGAACCCCGUCGAUCUCUAUCCCUCUCUUACUCUCUCUCGUGUUCCUCUUCACUACCACUUCUAG